rnacentral:misc_RNA from 1 species
GAAAUGCGAUAAGUAAUGUGAAUUGCAGAAUUCAGUGAAUCAUCGAAUCUUUGAACGCACAUUGCGCCCGCCAGUAUUCUGGCGGGCAUGCCUGUUCGAGCGUCAUUUCAACCAUCAAGCCCCCGGCUUGUGUUGGGGACCUGCGGCUGCCCGCAGGCCCUGAAAACCAGUGGCGGGCUCGCUGUCACACCGAGCGUAGUAGCAUACAUCUCGCUCAGGGCGUGCUGCGGGUUCCGGCCGUUAAAAGCCUUUUUUUACACAAGGUUGACCUCGGAUCAGGUAGGAAGACCCGCUGAACUAAAGC